GUCAGGGCAGUGGCUGAGUCUGCUUGCCGGGGGUCAGGAAGGCUGUUCUUCCAGGAAGGGCUGCAGAGACCCUGGGAACAGGACUAGGCUGCUCACAAGUAUGAAGAGAAUGUCGGGAGAGGAAGUGGUGGCUGUGAGUCAGCAUGAGUCAUCUCGUUCCAAUGAGAAUGAAGACUGAGGUGUGCGCCUUUUUUUUCUCUCUCUCACUUUUUAAAUUUUUUUUAUUUUUUUGAGUCUCAAUCGUGUGGACAUCACUGGGAAUGGAGGGAAAUAACUGACUGAAUGGUCGUUGCUUUUAAGUUUCAAACCGACAUUCCAGGCGGGUUGUGUCUGAGCCAGCCUCGGGCUUUCAGACCUUCACAGCCUGGUCCUGAGAAGGUAGAGCUCUCAGCUUCUCCCUGGUCACCCCAGACCGUGCUGCCAGUCUCAGCUGGCUUCGGGGCUGCCGGUUCUCUCCUCCCACUGCGGCGUGUCAGGGCAGAGCCAUCCCGUGAGGAGCCUGGGGACAGCUGACCAAACAGAGAGCAUCAGUAGACAGCUGAGCUGCCAUGGUCAUGGUCGUGGUCAUGAGCCCACAGCCCAGGAUCACUUGCCAUUGGUGAGACUCGGGUGUGUGUCACAAUCAUUUGGGCACUUGUGAAAAGAGACAUCCCUGGGUCCCAUUGCCAGAGUUUCCGAUUUAGAAGGUCUAGGGCACACCCUGAAAAUCUGCAUUUAUGAAAAUUCUCAGAUGAUACUGUUGGUCCAAAGGUCCAUAUUGAGGACCAUUAGUUAGGGCCAUGAGCCAAGGGUGAAAACCUAAAGGCCUAAAGAUUGUCUCUGUUGUCCCCUUUAAUGCUGAGAUUCCCUUCAUACGUUUUAGUCCAACUUUAGAAGUAAAACCAGCCUUUCAGAAAG
rnacentral:lncRNA from 1 species